UACGAAGGGGGGCUAGCGUUGCUCGGAAUCACUGGGCGUAAAGCGCACGUAGGCGGAUUGUUAAGUCAGGGGUGAAAUCCUGGAGCUCAACUCCAGAACUGCCUUUGAUACUGGCGAUCUUGAGUCCGGGAGAGGUGAGUGGAACUGCGAGUGUAGAGGUGAAAUUCGUAGAUAUUCGCAAGAACACCAGUGGCGAAGGCGGCUCACUGGCCCGGUACUGACGCUGAGGUGCGA
rnacentral:rRNA from 1 species